rnacentral:rRNA from 1 species
GGAAUCUUCCACAAUGGGCGAAAAGCCUGAUGGAGCAACGCCGCGUGUGUGAUGAAGGGUUUCGGCUCGUAAAACACUGUUGUAAGAGAAGAAUGACAUUGAGAGUAACUGUUCAAUGUGUGACGGUAUCUUACCAGAAAGGAACGGCUAAAUACGUGCCAG